ensembl:miRNA
UGGCAAAAAUGUGUUGAUUGUAAUGGUUCCUAUUUUGAUUAAUAAAGAUGUGUUUGAGUCUAGUUAUAAUGACUUAAUGUUCACGGCCCGAAACUGCAAUUACUUUUGCACUAAC